rnacentral:ncRNA from 1 species
GGAAACGCUAUGAAGGGGACCAGGGCCUGAGUAUUGAGCCACAGAGAGCCGGGGCAGCUGAAAACCGGCGCUUUAAAUACCCGGCCUGACAUCACCCCGGAGCUGCCGGCUGAAAGCAGUGGCAAGUAGGCUGGGCCGGAGCUGGCGGCCGUUAAAGCGCCGUGCCGGGUAAGGCACAUUAAGGGGCUUCCGCGUUUUUUUGGAAGCAAGCAGGGUGGUACCGCGCAAGGUUUUAAACCUCUCGUCCCUGGU